GACGAACGCUGGCGGCGUGCUUAACACAUGCAAGUCGAACGGAAAGGCCCUGCUUUUGUGGGGUGCUCGAGUGGCGAACGGGUGAGUAACACGUGAGUAACCUGCCCUUGACUUUGGGAUAACUUCAGGAAACUGGGGCUAAUACCGGAUAGGAGCUCCUGCUGCAUGGUGGGGGUUGGAAAGUUUCGGCGGUUGGGGAUGGACUCGCGGCUUAUCAGCUUGUUGGUGGGGUAGUGGCUUACCAAGGCUUUGACGGGUAGCCGGCCUGAGAGGGUGACCGGCCACAUUGGGACUGAAAUACGGCCCAGACUCCUACGGGAGGCAGCAGUGGGGAAUAUUGCACAAUGGGCGGGAGCCUGAUGCAGCAACGCCGCGUGCGGGAUGACGGCCUUCGGGUUGUAAACCGCUUUCGCCUGUGACGAAGCGUGAGUGACGGUAAUGGGUAAAGAAGCACCGGCUAACUACGUG
rnacentral:rRNA from 1 species